CACAGGUGGGUGAUGAAAGACUCCGCCCUUGCCACUCUGACUCUGGAAGAGGGGGAACUAAGGAAACUAAGCUUCUUUAGCAACAGUUUCUGCCCGGACAGUUGGUCGACCCGACAGACAGAGUCGGAAGGAGACGGACACAAGUUUCCGUUAGCUGUUCUCCUCUGGGUCAACUAGCGUUUUGGCAGAGAAAUUCAUCCAUGAGCCAAAGGACGUAUCUCUCGGUUGGACCACAUCAACUCCUGGAUAUGUACGCAGGUGCUGGAGUACACGCCUAGAGGGUUCAGCUGAGUGGACGGUCCGAACGGAUUUUCCAACUAACUGAGAGACCCUGCAUAC